CUAAACAUGCAGUCGAGCGGUAGCACAGAGAGCUUGCUCUCGGGUGACGAGCGGCGGACGGGUGAGUAAUGUCUGGGAAACUGCCUGAUGGAGGGGGAUAACUACUGGAAACGGUAGCUAAUACCGCAUAACGUCGCAAGACCAAAGUGGGGGACCUUCGGGCCUCAUGCCAUCAGAUGUGCCCAGAUGGGAUUAGCUAGUAGGUGGGGUAACGGCUCACCUAGGCGACGAUCCCUAGCUGGUCUGAGAGGAUGACCAGCCACACUGGAACUGAGACACGGUCCAGACUCCUACGGGAGGCAGCAGUGGGGAAUAUUGCACAAUGGGCGCAAGCCUGAUGCAGCCAUGCCGCGUGUGUGAAGAAGGCCUUCGGGUUGUAAAGCACUUUCAGCGGGGAGGAAGGCGUUAAGGUUAAUAACCUUGGCGAUUGACGUUACCCGCAGAAGAAGCACCGGCUAACUCCGUGCCAGCAGCCGCGGUAAUACGGAGGGUGCAAGCGUUAAUCGGAAUUACUGGGCGUAAAGCGCACGCAGGCGGUCUGUCAAGUCGGAUGUGAAAUCCCCGGGCUCAACCUGGGAACUGCAUUCGAAACUGGCAGGCUAGAGUCUUGUAGAGGGGGGUAGAAUUCCAGGUGUAGCGGUGAAAUGCGUAGAGAUCUGGAGGAAUACCGGUGGCGAAGGCGGCCCCCUGGACAAAGACUGACGCUCAGGUGCGAAAGCGUGGGGAGCAAACAGGAUUAGAUACCCUGGUAGUCCACGCCGUAAACGAUGUCGAUUUGGAGGUUGUGCCCUUGAGGCGUGGCUUCCGGAGCUAACGCGUUAAAUCGACCGCCUGGGGAGUACGGCCGCAAGGUUAAAACUCAAAUGAAUUGACGGGGGCCCGCACAAGCGGUGGAGCAUGUGGUUUAAUUCGAUGCAACGCGAAGAACCUUACCUGGUCUUGACAUCCACAGAACUUUCCAGAGAUGGAUUGGUGCCUUCGGGAACUGUGAGACAGGUGCUGCAUGGCUGUCGUCAGCUCGUGUUGUGAAAUGUUGGGUUAAGUCCCGCAACGAGCGCAACCCUUAUCCUUUGUUGCCAGCGGUUAGGCCGGGAACUCAAAGGAGACUGCCAGUGAUAAACUGGAGGAAGGUGGGGAUGACGUCAAGUCAUCAUGGCCCUUACGACCAGGGCUACACACGUGCUACAAUGGCAUAUACAAAGAGAAGCGACCUCGCGAGAGCAAGCGGACCUCAUAAAGUAUGUCGUAGUCCGGAUUGGAGUCUGCAACUCGACUCCAUGAAGUCGGAAUCGCUAGUAAUCGUAGAUCAGAAUGCUACGA
rnacentral:rRNA from 1 species